AGAGUGUAUGUUUCAGAGUGAUGUGGAAGGGUUGAGCAGCGAAUGAGGUUUUUUUAGUCCUAGGAAUUUGAGAAGAUUUGUGCAAAUUGGUGAUGAAAUCCAAGCUGCUCGAUUUCUUCUCAGACAUGGAUGAGCCCCUCAGGAAUUAUAUACUGAGUUUGAUUGUGUUU